UUACGGCCAUAUCAUGUUGAAAUUCCGGUUCCCGUACGAUCACCGAAGUUAAGCAACGUUGAGUAUGGCUUGUAUCUAGAUGGGUGACCGCUUGAGAAUACAAGGUGCUGUAAG